GGCAAAACGAAGCCAAGUUGUGUCUGUCUGUCUUCGACAUCAGAUAUUAAUGAAGGAGUCCGGCACAUGGGAGACAUCUGCGGACAUACUGAAGGUGAUGUAACACAGAGGACGUCCGGUUUGGUGAUCAGCUCUGCUGAGGUGUUGGUUCGACCCGGAGACUUCUGUGGGGUACAAUGGAAUGUGUGAGGCAGUUGUGCGUUUGUCCAGGAAACAUUCUUUAGAGUUGGUUUUGUUCCUUGGCACACAAUAAAUCAGUCAUCUCGUGUAAACGACAGCCACAUUUCUGAACAGUGUAAACUUUCUCAUUCAAAUGCCAGACCGAUUCGCUG